UCCGAGUUGACCCCGGCAGUCUCCUACGAGUCCCCGGCAUUACCCGCUGGCAACAUGGAACGAGGGUUGCGCUCGUUGCGGGACUUAACCCAACAUCUCACGACACGAGCUGACGACAGCCAUGCACCACCUGUCACCGGCCCCGAAGGACCCCGCAUCUCUGCGAGAUUUCCGGCGAUGUCAAACCCAGGUAAGGUUCUUCGCGUUGCAUCGAAUUAAUCCACAUACUCCACCGCUUGUGCAGGCCCCCGUCAAUUUCUUUGAGGUUUAAUCUUGCGACCGUACUCCCCAGGCGGGAUGCUUAAUGCGUUAGCUGCGCCACUGAAGGGUAAACCCCCCAACGGCUAGCAUCCAUCGUUUACGGCGUGGACUAC
rnacentral:misc_RNA from 1 species